UACGUGCAGUCGAGCGAAUGGAUUAAGAGCUUGCUCUUGUGAAGUUAGCGGCGGACGGGUGAGUAACACGUGGGUAACCUGCCCAUAAGACUGGGAUAACUCCGGGAAACCGGGGCUAAUACCGGAUAACAUUUUGAACCGCAUGGUUCGAAAUUGAAAGGCGGCUUCGGCUGUCACUUAUGGAUGGACCCGCGUCGCAUUAGCUAGUUGGUGAGGUAACGGCUCACCAAGGCAACGAUGCGUACCCCACCUGAGAGGGUGAUCGGCCACACUGGGACUGAGACACGGCCCAGACUCCUACGGGAGGCAGCAGUAGGGAAUCUUCCGCAAUGGACGAAAGUCUGACGGAGCAACGCCGCGUGAGUGAUGAAGGCUUUCGGGUCGUAAAACUCUGUUGUUAGGGAAGAACAAGUGCUAGUUGAAUAAGCUGGCACCUUGACGGUACCUAACCAGAAAGCCACGGCUAACUACGUGCCAGCAGCCGCGGUAAUACGUAGGUGGCAAGCGUUAUCCGGAAUUAUUGGGCGUAAAGCGCGCGCAGGUGGUUUCUUAAGUCUGAUGUGAAAGCCCACGGCUCAACCGUGGAGGGUCAUUGGAAACUGGGAGACUUGAGUGCAGAAGAAGAAAGUGGAAUUCCAUGUGUAGCGGUGAAAUGCGUAGAGAUGUGGAGGAACACCAGUGGCGAACGCGACUUUCUGGUCUGUAACUGACACUGAAGCGCGAAAGCGUGGGGAGCAAACAAGAUUAGAUACCCUGGUAGUCCACGCCGUACACGAUGAGUGCUAAGUGUUAGAGGGUUUCCGCCCUUUAGUGCUGAAGUUAACGCAUUAAGCACUCCGCCUGGAGAGUACGGCCGCAAGGCUGAAACUCAAAGGAAUUGACGGGGGCCCGCACAAGCGGUGGAACAUGUGGUUUUAAUUCAAAGCAACGCGAAGAACCUUACCAGGUCUUGACAUCCUCUGACAACCCUAGAAAUA
rnacentral:rRNA from 1 species